rnacentral:rRNA from 1 species
CCCUUAGAUGUCCUGGGCCGCACGCGCGCUACACUGAGUGUCUGAGAUACGAGUCUGCCUGGUCCGGCAAGGUCUAGGUAAUCGCUAAAAGACACAUCAUGCUUGGGAUAGAUUAUUGCAAAUAUUAAUCUUGAACGAGGAAUUCCUAGUAAGCGCAAGUCAACAGCUUGCGUUGAUUACGUCCCUGCCCUUUGUACACACCGCCCGUCGCUACUACUGAUUGGAUGUUUAAGCGAGGUUCUCGAACUGCUAGCGACUUAGCUUCGGUGAGGUCGCAGUGUGGGAAGUGAACCUAGCUUUGGUGUCUGGAGGAAGUAAAAGUCGUAACA